rnacentral:rRNA from 2 species
AACUGCGAAUGGCUCAUUAAAUCAGUUAUCGUUUAUUUGAUAGUACCUUACUACAUGGAUACCUGUGGUAAUUCUAGAGCUAAUACAUGCUAAAAACCCCGACUUCAGGAAGGGGUGUAUUUAUUAGAUAAAAAACCAACGCCCUUCGGGGCUCCUUGGUGAAUCAUAAUAACUUAACGAAUCGCAUGGCCUUGCGCCGGCGAUGGUUCAUUCAAAUUUCUGCCCUAUCAACUUUCGAUGGUAGGAUAGUGGCCUACCAUGGUGGCAACGGGUAACGGGGAAUUAGGGUUCGAUUCCGGAGAGGGAGCCUGAGAAACGGCUACCACAUCCAAGGAAGGCAGCAGGCGCGCAAAUUACCCAAUCCCGAUACGGGGAGGUAGUGACAAUAAAUACUGAUACGGGGCUCUUUUGGGUCUCGUAAUUGGAAUGAGAACAAUUUAAAUCCCUUAACGAGGAACAAUUGGAGGGCAAGUCUGGUGCCAGCAGCCGCGGUAAUUCCAGCUCCAAUAGCGUAUAUUAAAGUUGUUGCAGUUAAAAAGCUCGUAGUUGAACCUUGGGUCUGGCUGGCCGGUCCGCCUCACCGCGAGUACUGGUCCGGCUGGACCUUUCCUUCUGGGGAACCUCAUGGCCUUCACUGGCUGUGGGGGGAACCAGGACUUUUACUGUGAAAAAAUUAGAGUGUUCAAAGCAGGCCUUUGCUCGAAUACAUUAGCAUGGAAUAAUAGAAUAGGACGUGUGGUUCUAUUUUGUUGGUUUCUAGGACCGCCGUAAUGAUUAAUAGGGAUAGUCGGGGGCGUCAGUAUUCAGCUGUCAGAGGUGAAAUUCUUGGAUUUGCUGAAGACUAACUACUGCGAAAGCAUUCGCCAAGGAUGUUUUCAUUAAUCAGGGAACGAAAGUUAGGGGAUCGAAGACGAUCAGAUACCGUCGUAGUCUUAACCAUAAACUAUGCCGACUAGGGAUCGGACGGGAUUCUAUAAUGACCCGUUCGGCACCUUACGAGAAAUCAAAGUUU